rnacentral:rRNA from 1 species
UACAGAGGUCUCAAGCGUUGUUCGGAUUCAUUGGGCGUAAAGGGUGCGUAGGCGGCGCGGUAAGUCGGGUGUGAAAUCUUGGAGCUUAACUCCGAAACUGCACUGGAUACUGCUCUGCUAGAGGACUGGAGAGGAGACUGGAAUUCACGGUGUAGCAGUGAAAUGCGUAGAUAUCGUGAGGAAGACCAGUGGCGAAGGCGGGUCUCUGGACAGUUCCUGACGCUGAGGCGCGAAGGCCAGGGGAGCAAACAGG